GAUGAACGCUGGCGGCGUGCUUAACACAUGCAAGUCUAACGAUGAAGCCCAGCUUGCUGGGUGGAUUAGUGGCGAACGGGUGAGUAACACGUGAGUAACCUGCCCUUAACUCUGGGAUAAGCCUGGGAAACUGGGUCUAAUACCGGAUAGGAGCGCCUACCGCAUGGUGGGUGUUGGAAAGAUUUAUCGGUUUUGGAUGGACUCGCGGCCUAUCAGCUUGUUGGUGAGGUAAUGGCUCACCAAGGCGACGACGGGUAGCCGGCCUGAGAGGGUGACCGGCCACACUGGGACUGAGACAAGGCACAGACUAAUACGGGAGGCAGGAGUGGGGAAGAUUGCACAAUGGGAGAAAGCCUGAUGCAGCGACGCCGCGUGAGGGAUGACGGCAUUCGGGUUGUAAACCUAUUUCAGUAGGGAAGAAGCGAAAGUGACGGUACCUGCAGAAGAAGCACCGGCUAACUACGUG
rnacentral:rRNA from 1 species